rnacentral:tRNA from 1 species
GCUCGCUCAUAACGGGAGAGCGCUUGAAUGGCAUUCAAGAGGUCAGCGGUUCGAUCCCGCUCAGCUCCA